UACGGAGGGAGCUAGCGUUGUUCGGAAUUACUGGGCGUAAAGCGCACGUAGGCGGCUCUGUAAGUUAGAGGUGAAAGCCCGGGGCUCAACUCCGGAAUUGCCUUUAAGACUGCAUCGCUUGAAUCCGGGAGAGGUGAGUGGAACUGCGAGUGUAGAGGUGAAAUUCGUAGAUAUUCGCAAGAACACCAGUGGCGAAGGCGGCUCACUGGCCCGAUACUGACGCUGUGGCACGAAAGCGUGGGGAGCAAACAGG
rnacentral:rRNA from 1 species